rnacentral:misc_RNA from 2 species
AACGCACCUUGCGCCCUCUGGUAUUCCGGAGGGCAUGCCUGUUUGAGUGUCAUUAAAUUCUCAACUUCAAAAGUUUUUAUUAACUUAUUGAAGCUUGGAUGUGGGGGUUUGUUGGCGUCUUUAGAUGUUCAGCUCCCCUUAAAUGCAUUAGUGGAAUUCCCGUUUGGUUGGUCCAUCUUGGUGUGAUAAUUAUCUACGCUUUGCUUGGUUCAACUGUCAGGUGUGCUUAGGCUAGAUCCUGGUUGUGAUAUCGCAUUAAGUUGCUUUAUCUGAUUGUGGGAAAUUUAUCUGCUUUCUAACCGUCUGUUGUUUCAGACAAUUUAUUGACUAUUUGACCUCAAAUCAGGUAGGACUACCCGCUGAACUUAA